GCAGUCGUGGCGGAAUUGGCAGACGCGCAGGAUUAAGGAUCCUGUGUCCGCUUUAGGACGUGCGGGUUCGACUCCCGCCGACUGCACUA
rnacentral:tRNA from 1 species